UACAGAGGGUGCAAGCGUUGUUCGGAAUUAUUGGGCGUAAAGGGCGCGUAGGCGGUGCCACAAGUCACCUGUGAAAUCUCCGGGCUUAACUCGGAGCCUGCAGGCGAAACUGUGGUGCUGGAGUGUGGGAGAGGUGCGUGGAAUUCCGGUGUAGCGGUGAAAUGACGUAGAUAUUCGGAAGAACACCAGUGGCGAAGGCGACUUACUGGACACAUAUUGACGCUG
rnacentral:rRNA from 1 species